rnacentral:lncRNA from 1 species
UGAGGCGAACUAAUUCGCACAUACAUGCAAAAACAACAAUAUGUCGUAUAUAUAUAAGUGAUAUAAUUUUCUCAAAAAAAUUAAAAUAUUUGAAAUUAUCAGCAGGAUACAUCAUCAUGCACGCAUAAAUUGCUUCUCAAACAAAUAAACAACAAACUGAUCAGAAAUACUCCUAACUGAACUGAUACAUGAGUGCAGUGAGGAGGAUCCCGGAACGACGACCGGCAUUUGCAUCAUAUAUAUAUACAACGAGCUUGUGUCUGUCUUUAGACCAGACACAAGACUAUAUAUACUACGAUCGAGACACUCGAAAGAUCAGUGAGCGAAAUAGGUGACGAAGAGCGCGGCGAACAUGAGCAGGUACGCGACAGCCUGAUCGAUCGCCUUUGCGUCGACCGCCGCCCGCGCUGUCGCCACGGCGGUCGUCGCCUGCUUCUCCUGUGCUGCAAUGGAGAGCUGCAUGAGCCCGGAGAAGAAGAAGGCUGUGAACAGCAGCACGUACGCCUUCACGGAUGCCAUCUUCUGUCGCUGUAUAUAUUAGCUAGCUAGAGUUUCUGAAGCAGCUUUUCCUGGAAGAUGUGUGUAUCGCAGCUUCUAAACUCUGAUCCUUGAAUAGCUACUACUGAAGAAUGUGUGCUCGUAUAUCUAUAGG